GCGGGAUGACGCCUUCGGNUNUAAACCGNUUUGAUCGGGAGCAANNNCGGGUGAGUGUACCUUUCGAAUAAGCACCGGCUAACUACGUGCCAGCAGCCGCGGUAAUACGUAGGGUGCAAGCGUUAUCCGGAAUUAUUGGGCGUAAAGGGCUCGUAGGCGGUUCGUCGCGUCCGGUGUGAAAGUCCAUCGCUUAACGGUGGAUCUGCGCCGGGUACGGGCGGGCUGGAGUGCGGUAGGGGAGACUGGAAUUCCCGGUGUAACGGUGGAAUGUGUAGAUAUCGGGAAGAACACCAAUGGCGAAGGCAGGUCUCUGGGCCGUUACUGACGCUGAGGAGCGAAAGCGUGGGGAGCGAACAGGAUUAGAUACCCUGGUAGUCCACGCCGUAAACGGUGGAUGCUGGAUGUGGGGCCCGUUCCACGGGUUCCGUGUCGGAGCUAACGCGUUAAGCAUCCCGCCUGGGGAGUACGGCCGCAAGGCUAAAACUCAAAGAAAUUGACGGGGGCCCGCACAAGCGGCGGAGCAUGCGGAUUAAUUCGAUGCAACGCGAAGAACCUUACCUGGGCUUGACAUGUUCCCGACCGCUCCAGAGAUGGGGCUUCCCUUCGGGGCGGGUUCACAGGUGGUGCAUGGUCGUCGUCAGCUCGUGUCGUGAGAUGUUGGGUUAAGUCCCGCAACGAGCGCAACCCUCGCCCUGUGUUGCCAGCACGUCAUGGUGGGAACUCACGGGGGACCGCCGGGGUCAACUCGGAGGAAGGUGGGGAUGACGUCAGAUCAUCAUGCCCCUUACGUCCAGGGCUUCACGCAUGCUACAAUGGCCGGUACAACGGGAUGCGACACGGCGACGUGGAGCGGAUCCCUGAAAACCGGUCUCAGUUCGGAUUGGAGUCUGCAACCCGACUCCAUGAAGGCGGAGUCGCUAGUAAUCGCGGAUCAGCAACGCCGCGGNGAAUGCGUUCCCGGGCCUUGUACACACCGCCCGUCAAGUCAUGAAAGUGGGUAGCACCCGAAGCCG
rnacentral:rRNA from 2 species